rnacentral:tRNA from 1 species
GGUCCUGUGGUCUAGCGGCUAAGGCAUCUUCCUUACAAGAAGGCAAUCGGUGGUUCGAGUCCACCCAGGACUAC